UACGUAGGGGGCUAGCGUUGUCCGGAAUCAUUGGGCGUAAAGAGCUCGUAGGCGGUGUGUCGCGUCGGCCGUGAAAACUUGCAGCUUAACUGUGGGCGUGCGGUCGAUACGGGCAUCACUGGAGUUCGGCAGGGGGGACUGGAAUUCCUGGUGUAGCGGUGAAAUGCGCAGAUAUCAGGAGGAACACCGGUGGCGAAGGCGGGUCUCUGGGCCGAUACUGACGCUGAGGAGCGAAAGCGUGGGGAGCGAACAGGA
rnacentral:rRNA from 1 species